rnacentral:rRNA from 1 species
AUUGAACGCUGGCGGAACGCUUUACACAUGCAAGUCGAACGGCAGCACGGACUUCGGUCUGGUGGCGAGUGGCGAACGGGUGAGUAAUACAUCGGAACGUGCCCAGUCGUGGGGGAUAACGUAGCGAAGGCUUCGCUAAUACCGCAUACGAUCUAAGGAUGAAAGCGGGGGAUCGCAAGACCUCGCGCGAUUGGAGCGGCCGAUGGCAGAUUAGGUAGUUGGUGUGGUAAAGGCUCACCAAGCCGACGAUCUGUAGCUGGUCUGAGAGGACGACCAGCCACACUGGGACUGAGACAAGGCCCAGACUCCUACGGGAGGCAGCAGUGGGGAAUUUUGGACAAUGGGCGAAAGCCUGAUCCAGCCAUUCCGCGUGCAGGAUGAAGGCCCUCGGGUUGUAAACUGCUUUUGUACGGAACGAAAAGGCUCUGGUUAAUACCUGGGGCUCAUGACGGUACCGUAAGAAUAAGCACCGGCUAACUACGAGCCAGCCGCCGCCGUAA